rnacentral:lncRNA from 1 species
AGAAACCCUAAGGGAUGGAUCAAGGAGAGGAAUUGAGGAAGGACAGAGAGCAGGAGCAUAUGGACAGAGGAGAGGCAGAAGCCGGGCUCUGCAGGGCUGUGGAAGCUGGAGGAGUAGGUUGUCCCAGAGUCCCGUACCCCUGGGGAUCCAGGAAGUUACACUGAGGUGAGGCCAACUGCUCUGUGUGUGGAAGCCAGAGAAGAAAGCAGCACAGAACAGAUGCAAACCAAGGAGGCUGGAAGAUAAGAGCAGAGCCAUCAGGACACGAGCCCCUCGCGGGUAUGAAACAGGAGUCGUGGGAGCAAAUUAGUAGGUGCACUGCAUGGAGGGACGGAAGGGGCAGGGAGGAGCAUCUGAAUGUAAGAUUUCAGAGAAGCUCAUUUUGUCAGCAUUUCAGAGCUUCCUGUGUGCAGCAUGGAUCUAAAGCUGGUGGAUGCAGGGGGGUGAACAAGACAACAUCUUCACUUCCUGCAUGCUGAUGGCAGAAGUGAGACAUCAGCGAAGAAACAUCACGAUCACCAAAUUACGAUGAACACCAUGGAGGAAACAAAGGACACUGUGACACCAAGGAAGGAAGGGAGGUUACUUUUCAUAGUGGCUGUAAAUAGAACUGAAGGCUGAAAAACAGCUGUUAAAAUGGCUUGUUUGUUUGAAGAUGAAUGAGAGUACACAAUAAAAGGUAAUUCUCCCUCCCAUCCCCAA